ACGUAGGUGGCAAGCGUUGUCCGGAUUUAUUGGGCGUAAAGCGAGCGCAGGCGGUUUCUUAAGUCUGAUGUGAAAGCCCCCGGCUCAACCGGGGAGGGUCAUUGGAAACUGGGAGACUUGAGUGCAGAAGAGGAGAGUGGAAUUCCAUGUGUAGCGGUGAAAUGCGUAGAUAUAUGGAGGAACACCAGUGGCGAAGGCGGCUCUCUGGUCUGUAACUGACGCUGAGGCUCGAAAGCGUGGGGAGCGAACAGGAUUAGAUACCCUGGUAGUCCACGCCGUAAACGAUGAGUGCUAAGUGUUGGAGGGUUUCCGCCCUUCAGUGCUGCAGCAAACGCAUUAAGCACUCCGCCUGGGGAGUACGACCGCAAGGUUGAAACUCAAAGGAAUUGACGGGGGCCCGCACAAGCGGUGGAGCAUGUGGUUUAAUUCGAAGCAACGCGAAGAACCUUACCAGGUCUUGACAUCCUUUGACCACUCUAGAGAUAGAGCUUCCCCUUCGGGGGCAAAGUGACAGGUGGUGCAUGGUUGUCGUCAGCUCGUGUCGUGAGAUGUUGGGUUAAGUCCCGCAACGAGCGCAACCCUUAUUGUUAGUUGCCAUCAUUUAGUUGGGCACUCUAGCGAGACUGCCGGUGACAAACCGGAGGAAGGUGGGGAUGACGUCAAAUCAUCAUGCCCCUUAUGACCUGGGCUACACACGUGCUACAAUGGGAAGUACAACGAGUUGCGAAGUCGCGAGGCUAAGCUAAUCUCUUAAAGCUUCUCUCAGUUCGGAUUGUAGGCUGCAACUCGCCUACAUGAAGCCGGAAUCGCUAGUAAUCGCGGAUCAGCACGCCGCGGUGAAUACGUUCCCGGGCCUUGUACACACCGCCCGUCACACCACGAGAGUUUGUAACACCCGAAGUCGGUGAGGUAACCUUUUUGGAGCCAGCCGCCUAAGGUGGGAUAGAUGAUUGGGGUGAAGU
rnacentral:rRNA from 1 species